rnacentral:rRNA from 1 species
UGGGGAAUAUUGCACAAUGGGCGCAAGCCUGAUGCAGCAACGCCGCGUGGAGGAAGACGGUUUUCGGAUUGUAAACUCCUGUUCUUAGUGAAGAAAAAUGACAGUAGCUAAGGAGCAAGCAACGGCUAACUACGUGCCAGCAGCCGCGGUAAUACGUAGGGGGCGAGCGUUGUCCGGAAUUACUGGGCGUAAAGGGAGCGUAGGCGGUUAAUUAAGUUAGAUGUGAAAUACCCGGGCUUAACUUGGGGGGUGCAUCUAAUACUGGUAAACUAGAGUACAGGAGAGGAAAGCGGAAUUCCUAGUGUAGCGGUGAAAUGCAUAGAUAUUAGGAGGAACAUCGGUGGCGAAGGCGGCUUUCUGGACUGACACUGACGCUGAGGCUCGAAAGCGUGGGGAGCAAACAGGAUUAGAUACCCUGGUA